AGCAGCCGCGGUAAUUCCAGCUCCAAUAGCGUAUAUUAAAGUUGUUGCAGUUAAAAAGCUCGUAGUUGAAUUUCGGGGUUAGUAGGUUGGUCAUGCCUCUGGUAUGUACUGGUCUCACUGAUUCCUCCUUCCUGAUGAACCUUAAUGCCAUUAAUUUGGUGUUUUGGGGAAUUUGGACUGUUACUUUGAAAAAUUAGAGUGUUUAAAGCAAGCUAACGCUUGAAUACAUUAGCAUGGAAUAAUGAAAUAGGACGUUCGAUCCUAUUUUGUUGGUUUCUAGGAUUGACGUAAUGAUUAAUAGGGAUAGUUGGGGGCAUUAGUAUUCAAUUGUCAGAGGUGAAAUUCUUGGAUUUAUUGAAGACUAACUACUGCGAAAGCAUUUGCCAAGGAUGUUUUCAUUAAUCAAGAACGAAAGUUAGGGGAUCGAAGACGAUCAGAUACCGUCGUAGUCUUAACCAUAAACUAUGCCGACUAGGGAUCGGAUGAUGUUAAUUUUUAAUGUACUCAUUCGGCGCCUUAC
rnacentral:sRNA from 1 species